GAAAUUGGGAAGAAAAAGAAGAAGAAAAGGAAGGAAAGGAAAAAGAAAGGAAAAGAGAUUUAAAGGAAGGAAUAUAUAUGUUUUCAAGUCAAUAUUUUUGAAUUGGAGAUGCUGUUUACACUAAGGUGGUGACGAAGAAUUGGAAAAGCUUACCUUCCGGCCUAGUCUGUAGCUCGUAUUGAAUUAUCAGAGGUCUUUGGGACCCACUCUCGUACACACAUAGGCUUUGGGCCGUGUACUAGAGUGAUUAGCCUUUGGGGCAGUUCUGCGUACGUAUGACCAGAUUAUCAGAUUAUCAGCUAUCAGAUUAUCAGAUUUGAAUGGCUUGCCUUGUACAUCGAGAUUACUCUGUACAUGUGUAAGGCUAUUCAUUGGGUACUCUUUUUGAUAGUAGCUGAGUUGAGCACUACUGGGCCAGUUGAUCUAUCGAGUUGAACUAUAAAUUGUCAAGCAUUGUAUGACUCAUCUUGUCAGUUUAAUGGUUCAUAUUUUGGAAUAGACACCUCUUUUGGUCAGAAAUUAAUUCCAUGUUUUGGGCCUGCUAUGUUUUAUAUAUAUUAUGCAUUUUGGGUACUGUGGUUUAUAAAUUGUUGCAAAGGUUAAAUUGCCAGUGUUGUAUUUGAAUAGUUGAUUUUCUGUGAGCCAGUGUACCAUAUUUUAAACUAUAUGUAUCUGUUUGGGAUAUUGGAUUAUAUAUUUCAGGUGGUUUUAGUCUAUAAUUCAGGGGGAACUCUGCCAAAAUUUUUACAAAGCAUAUCAUAGUCAAUACAAGUCAAUGUUGCCUUGAUGGUGGGUCCGGCACUUAAUUGGUAUCUACCAUCGGCGCACGACACGUGUCGGGUGUGUUAGGAUGAUUCGGGACGGAUCGUGUCAGCACAGGCUCAAGGAACAUACUGCUGCUGUCAAAGCUCUUGCCUGGUGUCCUUUCCAGGGUAAUUUACUGGCCUCUAGUGGAGUUGGAAGUGACCGGUGCAUAAAAUUCUGGAACAUGCACACUGGUGUGUGCUUGAACUCGGUUGACACUGGCUCACAGGUGUGUGCUUUAUUGUGGAAUAAAAAUGAGCGUGAAUUGCUUAGCUCUCACGGGUUUACAAAAAUCAGCUCACUCUCUGGAGAUACCCCUCCAUGGUGAAAAUAGCUAAGCUCACUGGGCAUGCAUCAAGAGUUCUUUUAUGGUUCAGAGCCCGGAUGGAUGCACGGUUGCAUCAGCAGCAGGAGAUAAAACUCUGAGGUUUUGGAAUGUUUUUGGGACACCUGAAGCGGCAAAACCUGCACCCAAGACAAAUUCAGAGCCAUUUGGUCACUGCAACAUUCGAUGAUUGGAAUGAGAAAGCAAAGCAGAUUCUUUACUGCAUGAAAUUCUAAGAUCGAAGAAAACAAAAAUGAUUAACAGUUGUUCUCUUUCAUUAUUCUUUUAAGCUACACAAGUCCAUAGGGCGUUUCUACGGCCAACUGCUCAUGAGGAGUUCUGUAAAUUGUUGCUUCCCUUCUGAAGCCUGUGCUCUGCUGUAGGCUUGUCAUUAUUUUCUUUCUUCAAGUUGUUAAUGUUAAUGCAUCUCUUGAGAAGGCUUUGUCGGCUUCCGGGCUCAGAGCCUUAAGAUAAGCACGUGAAGUUGAUGGGAUUGGUCAAGUUGUGGCCCUGAACAACGAAGGAGGAGAAACAUAAAACUUAAUGGUUCAGUGGCAUGCUCAAAAGUGGUUAAAAUUAUACAUAGAUAGAAAUAUUGCCGUGAGAUGGCUUUGAGGAUCCUUCUUGCCAGCAUUGAGAUCAGCAAGUGCAAUGAAGAACACUCCUUUAAAGCUUUCAUAUGUUUAUCAGUGCAUUGAUUGUGAUUCUUUUCAUCUCCAGCCAAUUGGAAGGACUGUAUCCAAGAAUGCCAGCAUUAGAUAUCUCCACGGAUUUGGCCCUGUUGCUCCCCAAGAGUGCAGCGAUUGUGGAAAGAAAGAUAACAUGGGUGGGCCCAUAUGCUCCCAUACAUGACCAAGAAUGGGAGAGUGCCAUUCUAGCAAAUAUCUCUUUCUCCACCCUUUGGUCUAUUUUUCACUGCCCAUGAAUAUUCAAUUUUGCCUUGGUGAUUAAGUCUUAUAGCUAUCUGAUUUUGAUUUCAAUCCAUUCCCAAAACCCAUUCUACCUUCAAAUCUUUGUUUUGGAGCACGCACACCGGUGUGUGUGCUUGAACUCGGUUGACAGUGGCUCACGGGUGUGCUUUAUUGUGGAAAAAAAAUGAGCGUGAAUUGCUUAGCUCUCACGGGUUUACAGAAAAUCAGCUCUCUCUCUGUAAAUACCCCUCCAUGGUGAAAAUAGCUGAGUUCACUGGGCAUACAUCAAGAGUUCUUUUUAUGGUUCAGAGCCUGGAUGGAUGCACGGUUGCAUCAGCAGCAGGAGUUGAAUGUUGGUGUUAACUGUUAAUGUUCACUAAAAGAGAAAGAAGGGUAGAAUUUAUUCACCAAGACAUCAACUGAUGUAGCACCAAUAGGAAAAUUAAUAGAGAAAGAGAAAAUCAACGAAUAUGAAGAAGAAAUCAGGGAAAAGGAUGAUAGAAGAAGAAAAUAGGGGAAGAAGAAAAUUUCACCACAAGCUACCAAAUAUCUUUAUUCAAUCAUCAACUGAAAAUAAAUUACAAUGCAAAGUAGUUUAAAUAUUAAAAACCUAAACCCUAACUAGAUUGGGCUUGGGUCAAUAUAAACCUAAUAAAAAUCCAAAUCAAUAAAGUCCACAAAAUGAAAUAAGGUCCAACUAGAAAUAAAUAAAAACGACUGGAUGUCCUCAUCAACUCUCCCGGGGUGGGAGAAAACUCGGCCCUGUCGAGUGGAUAUAUCAAUAUAGGUUAUAGUCAAUCGUCCAACCAUAAGUUGAGUGGUUGGGCAAGCUUCUUCCGGUGUCUGUAGAAAUGUGUCAGUGGAUGUCUGAAUCUGGUGUCCUCACCAACUCCCCUUAGGUGGACGGGAGGCGAUCUGGGCCAAGGAAGAUCCUGCUGAUUCCGAUAAAGCUCCAAUAAAUCUGGAUUCAAUUGCUGUAGUGUCUCUCUAGAGAUCCAUGUACAGUCAGAAUCUGGUCGACCAACCCAACGAACAAGAAAGUGCUGAAUUUCUCCAUAAUUAGUUAACACAGUUUUUCAUCUAAAAUAGCAUCAAUGUUAUCUUUGUGUGCUGUGAGAGGUGGUAGUGGGUUAGAAGGGGCCAAAGAAUCAAAGAAUCAGGGUCAAGGUCCACAAAAGGAGGUAACAGAGGAUCAUCUGAGGGAAUGAAAUGGCCAUUAUAAGCAGCUAAGUCAUCAACAUUGAAAAUAGAGUGGUAACCAAGGUGAGGUGGAAUGUCAACAACAUAUGAAUUUGGACUAACUUGCUUUAAAAUUUUAAAAGGGUCUGCACUACGGGCUCGCAAUUUGAGACGAGUUCAUGUAGACGCCGCUCUAACCUAAUGCUGACCGUAACAUAAUCUCCAAUGCUAAACUCAACACGUCGUUUAUGUAAAUCAGCUUGGAGUUUAUAUUUUACAUUACUAGCUUCAAGUUGUUUAUUGAUCUCAAUAUGCAAAUCACGAAGAUGUUGUGCAAAUGCUUUACUAACAUUAACACUCUAGCCUGUGGGGACAUAGGAAUGAGAUCUAACGGCUUCCUAAGCUUAUACCCGUGAACAGCUUCAAAUGGACUCAUACCCAUUGAACGAUUCAUGGAACUGCUAUAAACAAUUUGAGCUACAGGAAUGAUCAAAUCCUAAUUUCGAAGACAACGUAAUAGUUUACCAAGACUUCGAUUAACUACUUCAAUUUGAGGGUGGUAGGCCGUAGAAAAUUUCAAUUCGGUACCCAUCUUUUGCUACAAAGUCCUCCAAAAAUAGCUAGUGAAACGAACAUCCCUAUCGGACACAAUGGUCUUAGGAAGCGCAUACAAUUUGACAAUCUCAUUAAAGAAUAACAUGGCAACCUUGGACGCAUCUGAAGUCCUGCUACAGGGGACAAAAUGAGCCAUUUUCAAAAAACGAUCGACAACCACAAAAAUAGAAUCACGUUUUUUUUGGGGUGCGUGGAAGUCCUAAUACAAAAUCCAUACUAACAUCUUGCCAAGGACAAUUGGAGACGGGAAGAGGAGUGUAUAGGCUUGUGUUUUGUCUAUUCUGUUUGGCCAAUUGACAAGGAUUACACGUACUAACAAUCUUAGCCACAUCUUUCUUCAAACUAGGCGAAUAGAAUUGGCGUUCAACUUCCUCUAUGGUCUUAUUACGCCCAAAGUGACCGGCUAAACCUCCUGCAUGAAUUUUCCUCACUAUGAAAUCUAGCAUUGAAGUUCGAGGGAUGUACAAUUUAUUGGCUCUAAAGAGAUAACCCUCCUCAAGUCGGAAGCCAUCUGUGGUGUCUGAUUAUCUCCCUUGCAAAUCAAGAAAAAUAUCUUUAAAAUUGGGACAUGCCACGUAAUCCUCCUUAAGCCUUUCAAAACCGAUGAUCUUGACACUCAUGAUCGAUAAAAGGGAGACACGAUGACUUAAUGCAUCAGCUACUUGAUUCUCCACGCCCUUCUUGUGUUUUAAAACAAAUGAAUAGGCCUGCAAAUAUUCAAUCCAACGACCAUACCUAGAGUUAAUCUUUUCUGGGAGUUGAGGUAACGGAGGGCCUCGUGGUCCGAAUAAAGGACAAACUCCUGGGGCAACAAAUAGUGACGCCAAUGGCGCAAAGCCUGGACCACCGCAUACAGUUCCUUAUCAUAAGUUGAGUACCGUUGUUUGGCCUCAUUUAACUUCUCACUGAAGUAGGCAACAGGGUGACGACCCUGACUCAAGACUCCGCCUAUACCUACCCCGGAGGCAUCACAUUCAACUUCAAAGACUUUGGAAAAGUCGGGAAGACGCAAUGACAGGAGCCUCCAUCAUUCGCUUCUUGACCAACUUAAAGGCCUUAGCUACUUCUUGUGUCUAAUAAAACUCCCCUUUCUUCAUGCACUUCGUAAUAGGCGCCAUAAUAGUGCUAAACCCCUUGAUAAAACGAUGGUAAAAUAUAGCUAAGCCGUGAAAGCUCCUGACGUCAUGAAUAGUCUUAGGUUCAGGCCAGUCAAGAAUCGCCUGAACCUUGGCAGAGUCAACAAAUACCCCUAUUGAAGAGACAAUGAACCCCAUGAAAACAAUUGUAUCGGUGAAGAAAGAGCACUUCUUGAUGUUAGCAUACAGAUUAGUUGCACGUAGGGUAGAGCAAACUUGUGUAAGGUGGUCACGGUGUGAAUAUCAUCAAAGUAGACAACAAUAAACUUGCCCAUGAAAGGUCGAAGAGUUUGUGUCAUUACCCGCAUAAAGGUACUCGACGCGUUGCUUAGCCCAAAAGGCAUGACUAGCCAUUCAUAAAGACCAUCUUUCAUCUUAAAAGCAGUCUUCCACUCAUUACCUGGACGAAUUCUAAUCUGAUGGUAUCCACUCUUCAGAUCAAUCUUCGAAAAGAUUGUAGCACCAACCAUCAUAUCUAGCAUAUCAUCAAGUCUAGGAAUGGAAAAACGAUACUUCACCGUGAUCCUAUUGAUAACGUGACUAUCCACACACAUUCUUUAAGAACCAUCCUUUUUAGGCGUCAAUAGGGCAGGGACAGCACACGAGCUUAAACUCUCACGAAUGAAUCCUUUGUGAAGGAGGUCAUCCACUUGCCUUUGAAGUUUAGCGUGCUCGGUAGGAUUCAUCCUAUAAUGAGGCAAAUUUGGAAGGGAUGCCCCUGGGAUAAAAUCUAUGGCAUGUUGAAUGUCCCGUAGAGGAGGUAGAUGAUCAGGGAGGUCAUCCGGAAAGACAUCUCAAACUCUUGAAAGAACGACUGGACUUCAGCGGGGCUCUCUAUUAUGGAGUUAGAUGAAACCUCCAUGACUACUAAAGCGAGCACAAUUGAGUUACCAACAAGUGUACGCUCAAACUCCGUAGGACUAAUGAUAUGCAAUCCCUUUCGUUCCACACUCUUCUUCGUUUCCUAUGAGCCAACAGGCUUUGGGGACAGUGGGUUAAGGUAAAUCUUCUUUCCAUUAAACAUGAAGGAGCAAGGAUUGGAUCGACCAUAGAUGGUUACAUCUAGGUCAAACAACCAAGGUCGUCCCAAGAUGAUGUGUUCGACAUCCAUUGAAAUGACGUCGCACCAUAUAUGGUCCUUAUUCUCGACGAACUGGAUAGGGACUAAACAACGCUCAUUGACAGCUAUAGAAGAGGUAUCAACCCAAGAGACGCUGUAUGGUUGAGGGUGAGGAACUGGCUUCAACCCUAGACAGGAUACAGUAGCCAUCGAAACUGCAUUAAUGCAACUGCCACCUUUCACAAUAACUUUCCAGUCCUUGUUAUUGAUCUUGAUGUAAGUGUGGAAGAUGGCAUGACGAUGCCAAUCAUCAGCAUUCCUAGGCUUGGUAAGAGUUCAACGGACGACACCGACUCUAGGCGUAUGUGGAAUAAGGGGACUAGCCUGAAUACAACCUAAGAAGGUAUCUUCACUAUCCUCCAAGUCAUCAAACUCUUCCAACUUAGGUUCAUAAACUUGGUCCUCCAAUGGCUCGUCAACUAUACCUUCACGCUCUUCCAUAACUAGGGUUUGGCUAGGACACUUAAAAGAAAUGUGACCAAAACCCUUAAGUUGAAGCAUUGCAAACGGGAGGGCGCCCUUGGAACCUCAGAACCUAUACCUUUACUAUAUGAUACAUGGGUAGCAUUAGAAGGAUAAGGCCCUAGAAUAGACUUAGGGAAUGGAGUAGAUGCAGAAGAGAUUGCAGUGUGAGUGUCACUACGAGUUCUAUACGGUGUCCUAGUCACUAACUCGUAAUCCCGAACGAAAGAGUGGUCAAGAGUGGUGACGCCUCUAAGGACAAGCUCACGCCUAAGGUCAUCUCUUAGGCCUUACCUAAACCUACUCAAAGUCAUGACCUCAUCCUUAAUGACCUGACAUCUUAUUCAAAACUCAUCAAACUGCGCGACGUAUUCGGUCACAGGUCGAUUGCCUUGCGUAAGUGUGUUCCAUUGAUCCAGCAAGUUACCCCUGUAAGACUGAGGUAAAUAUUUUUCUUGAAGACGACGCUUCAUUUCAUCCCAGCUCUCAAUAGAGGGAGCAUGACGCCUAUCCAGAAGGUCCUCAACACAUUCUCAAAAGAGUUGAGCAGUGCCAGUUAAUUUGAAAUUGGAAAAUUGUAUCUUUCGAUCUUCCGGGACCCCAUACCAAGCAAAGAAGCGAUCCAUAUCUCUAACCCAUCGAUUGAAUACACUAGGAUCUAGACAACCAUCAAAUGUAGGGCAUCUAACUUAAUGUUUCGAAAAAGGCGCAAAUCGUGGAGAGGGGGAGAUUGUGUACCAUGACAGUGAUAUUCCCACUCUCGUCCACGAGCCUGAUUUCCUUCCCUAUGAUCAUAGCUGAUGUGGUGUUGACCACGGACGAAGUUGAGGUCUAUUAAUGGAAGCUUUAGAGUUUUUAGUUUCAGUCAAAUAUGGGGUUGGAUCAAAAGUGUUCAACCUAACGGCUAGGGCUCUAUUCUCCUCACGAGUAGCGGCUACCUCAGUUUAGACAGCCGUUAAUUGAUUUUGUAUUUGUGCUAACUAUCGGGUGAUGGCCUCAAUUUAGGACGAAUCCAUGGCAAGGGUACUAGAACUAGAGGUAGUAACACGACCACCACGCAAAUGCAUACAAAGUAACACUAACUAAGUGAAAUGCACUACUAAGAUCAAUAAACAAUAGGUACCAAUAGUAAAAUAGCAAUUUUUUUUUAAUUUUUAAGUUACUGAAAAAAAGAUGGGAUUACGUAGGGUCGAACAUGGGAAGCUAAUAAUACUGAUACAAAUAAAAUAGAAAGCAAGGAUACAAAUGACUAUUCGAAAGGUCUAAUCACGUGGGGGUAAUCGGAGAACAAUGGAUGUGAACUCACAAAUUCUGAUCAAGUGAAUUUUUAAGGCUACAAUUAUCAAAUAACAGCAACACAAGUAAUGUAAAUGAUGUGAUCUUAAAAUGAAGUAGUGUAAACCAACAAUAAAUAAAGGUUAAGGACUCCCUGUUGUUUAGUUGCUCAAAUUGUUGACACGUGGGCUCUGGAUAUAAUUGCGUCCUUUCCUUCGCUUCAGGUGGUUUCCUAUGAAUAUGAGUGACUGCUGUUCUAGUUUUGCUGGUGGUGUAUGUAGAAAUCGUCCCUCUAUUAUGGUGUUGGCGGCGGCGGGUGGCAGUGGAGACGACUGUGACUUCUAUCCUGAGUGUGGAAGUGAAGGGGUGUACUGCGUCUGGGUUGUGUAUAGGUGGAAUGAUUUGUCUGGUGAUUGUGGCUUAUGGUGGCCAUGGUGACUGAGAAGAAAUGGGUUAUGGGUUUGAAUUGGAUUAAGUGAGAGUGAGUUUUAACUAGGAUUGUGAGUAAUUUGGGCCACUAGUUUAUGGCGCAAAUGUCUUGAUAAAAGGAAUGGGCUCACAGGUAAUAAUUAUAUAUGGGUAUAUGGAUUAUUAUAGGGUUGGGUUAAUGUAAGGUGGGCUGAUCUUGUAUGUAGACUGGAUGUAAGUAGGGUUUGAUUGUUAGGGAUGAAAUUUAUGAAACAGCACACUUAGCAGCAGCAAACGCCUAAAACUCUAAAAUUGAUUUUUUUUUUGGGAAACUACAGAAAAAAAUGAAAUUCCGGGUGUGAACAGUAGCAAUUUUUUUUUUUUUUUUGUGAAACCACUGAAAAAUCUUUAAAAAAAACUGAAAUUCUAGGUGUGAACAGUAACAAAUUAUUUUCUUUUUUCCUACUCAACUAGAAAGAAAAUUUAACAAGAAAACUGCUGCUUCACAACAAAUUUUUUUUGUUUGUGCUGUUCUACAAGUUUUUUGGAAAGAGGAUAGGAAGAAAGUUUUGAAUUGUAGAUAAAAAAAUUACCCAAGUUUUGGCUCUGAUGCCAAAUUUGAUGUAGCACCAAUAGGAAAAUUAAUAGAGAAAGAGAAAAUCAAUGAACAUGAAGAAGAAAUCAGGGGAAAUGAUGAUAGAAGAAGAAAAUAGGGGAAGAAGAAGAAUGGGGAAGAGGGAAAUUUCGUCACAAGCCACUAAAUAUCUUUAUUCAAUCAUCAACUAAAAAUUAAUUACAAUGCAAAGUAGUUUAAAUAUUAAAAACCUAAACCCUAACUAGAUUGGGCUUGGGCCAAUAUAAGCCUAAUAAGAAUCCAAAACUAUAAAGUCCACAAAAUGAAGCAAGGUCCAACUAGAAAUAAAUAAAAACGACUAGAUGUCCUCAUCAUCAACAUUCCUGUUGAUGCUCCCAAAGUCGUUACAUAAAAUAUUGACAAAUUUGUAUUCUUUGUGUUUGUGAAUUCAUGUGAAUGCAUAUAAUUAUUGCGAGUUGUUUGAUAUUAUUCCUCUUAGAAAAGGAAACUGUUUUUAUGUUGGGUCAAUAUAUUUAGUUUUCCUCUUUGUAUUUGGUGAAUUUUGCUUUGAAAAUAAUGUGAUGGCCAUGGAAAUAGAUCUAGAAAAAUAUAGUAUUCGAUUGUUUUUA